rnacentral:lncRNA from 1 species
CAGCCGCAGGUCUGUGAUCAGUCCCAGGCCUGCCUCCUGGACAGCUCAUGAUGUCUGGGCCAGCUCCCCUCCCAGCUGCAGCAGGUCCCUUGGGGAGAGAGCACAGGCUGGCGAUGGGAUGGGGCUCACUCCCAAAUACAAAUUAAAACUAUGCUGGGGCCAGGCGUGGUGGCUCACACCUGUAAUCUCAGCACUUUAGGAGGCUGAGGCAGGCAGAUCACCUGAUGUCAGGAGUUCAAGACCAGCCUGGCCAUCAUGGUGAAACCUCGUCUCUACUAAAAAUACAAAAAAUUAGCCAGGCAUGGUGGCACACUCCUGUAGUCCCAGCUACUUGGGAGGCUGAGGCAGGAGAAUUGCUUGAACGCAGGACAUGGAGACUGCAGUAAGCCGAGAUCAUGGCACUGCAUUCCAGCCUGGGCGACACAGUGAGACUGCGUCUCAAAAAAUAAAUAAAUAAAAUAAAAAUAAAAAUAAAACUAUACUAGGCUGGGUGCAGUGGCAUGCACCUGCAGUUUCAGCUAUGUGGGAAGCUGAGGCAGGAUUGCUUGAGCCCAGGAGUUUGAGGCCAGCAUGAGAAACACAGUGAGACUCCAUCUCAAAAACAAAAGAGAAAGAAAAAAAAAAAAACACACACACACACACCAACUCUACACUGGGAUGCCAUUUGUCCACUAUCAGACUAGGGGGAAAAACAAGGGUCACAUAAUACACAGGGAGGGGCUUUGGGGUAACAGGCGCUCCCCUACACAGCUGGUGGGAAGGUGAGUACAACCACAAUGGAGAGCACUGGGGGAAAGCUCCGAGAACUAUGCAUGCAUAGGACCUUCCCACCAGCUCCUCCUCUAAGAACGUAUCCAAAGAUAUACUCCAGCACAGAGAAGAUGGCUUGUGCACAAGGGGGUUCACUGCAGCAUUGCUCGUGUAAAAAAUCCUGGUGACAACCUGAAUGUCUAUCAAAAGGGGACUAAGUACGUGAUGGUACAUCUAUUCAGUGGAACACUCUGUGGUUAAGAAAACCAGUGGAGAAGUUCUUACUGGUCUGACACAGAGUCACCUCCCAAUUAUAACUAAUAUGUGAGGAAAGCAUCUUCGAGAACUGUGAAGAUGAAAUUUUACCAGGCAUAUAUACAAAAAAGUGUGCAUGUGUCUGUGUGUGUGUGUGUGUGUGAUCUGCUUUAUUUGAUUAUGUAAGAUAACCCUGGA